rnacentral:lncRNA from 1 species
ACUAAUACUGUGAAUAAACUAAUCGGAACUAAGGUUGCAAAAAUUUACCAACAAAAUAAAUGGGUAAAAGGAAAACAGGAGGUACCAACUCCUACAAGUAGAAUCUAAAAAUUGUCUUGGUAUAUACAACGAUGUUGCGUCCAACUAGCAUGUUCGUGUUCCGCUUCUGUCAUCCCUCGUUGACCCUUGCUGGGGUUGUUCCUUAUGCUUGCCCACGCACGUUCCACUUGCUGCUAAUGGCCAUAAGUCCUAAACCUGAAAAUAUGAUACCACAAAGACAGACAAAAAAGAGGGGGGAUUGUCACCGAUACCGCUGGUGAGGCCCCACCCGUGGCAAAAGAGUGCAAAAGGUUUGUAAUAAAAACCUUAUUUAUUAUUAAAUAAAUUAAAUAAUAGAUAAACAAAAAACAAAAAACAAAAAAAAAAUUUGCUUACAGAUAUAAAAUCAAAACACAAUAAAGUCAGAAAAAUAAAUCAACACAACAUGAAUAACAAAUACAAGAAUGAGCUUGAGAUUCAACUAAGGGAAAUAGAGAUGGAGGAUGAGGCUGUUGCAAUGCCGGCGCAAGUGGUGGUGGGAAAACAGGAGAGAGAAAGAGAGUAAAAGAAGACAAAGGUGGGGUAGGGGUAUGGGGAGCUUACCCGAUUUGGUUGUCAUACAUCCUUUUUUAAUACACUCGCAAGGACGUAAAGGAGUUUUUCCAUUUUAAGUGACAAUAUUUAAAUCGGGAUUAUUUAUUUCAGAGUCGCCACUUGGGAUAAGGCUGGUUUUUUAUGUCCCAAGUUCUUACCUGGUGUGGUGGUUGCCGCCGGUGACUUAGAAAAAGACAUUAGGGGGCAGGGAGCAGAGAUACGUUCGGGAGCAUAGAGACGUUAUUAAAGAAAUAGAGAGAGAGUCCCUCGUUA